UAGAACUUUGCAGGAUAUUCCCAUGUUCCU
rnacentral:piRNA from 1 species